rnacentral:lncRNA from 1 species
CAGUGUUGUGUUCUUCAAGUGACAAUUCCAACUUUUCAGUCAGCUGGUGUCCCAGGUGCGCCGACAGGCCUUAGCAUUGAAAGAAAAAUAGUUGCGGAGUUACGAAGACUUGGUCAUCUUCGGUAUUGUUUGCAAUGAGUUUUAUAGACUGAACGAGAAACCAAUAAAAACUCGUAAAAUAUUU